rnacentral:tRNA from 1 species
GCCCCCGUGGCGGAAUCGGUAGACGCAACUGACUUAAAAUCAGUCGCCUUUGGCUUGUGGGUUCGAGUCCCACCGGGGGUA